UUGCUUCUUUUUUUUUGAGUUUGUGAAUUUCAGUAGGUACAAUUUUUUUUUAUAUUAUUAAGGUUUAAUGGUACUUUAUAGUAAAUUAGCUUCAUGUAGAGCUGUAAUUACAAUAUUUAAUCAAUGGUGUCCCCAAACUUAGAGGUUACCUGCAUUUGCUAACUUCUAAAGUUGUGAAAUAAACUAUGAUAUACGGUAGUCAGCAUUGAAAUACAAUAGGUUGCUCAAACUAAUUAAAUAUUAAGAACGUUCCUAACAUAUUGUAUACCAAUUGGACGAAUGCCCCCCGAUAUCCCCCGAAUGUCUCCGAUGUCGGAGGCCCCAAUCUAAAAAUUGGGGGCCUCCGAUAUCGAAGACAUCUGAUCUGUGGGAGAAGGGUCGGAGAAGGACGUUCCAGAGAAAUCCUGGACGCACUUGAGGUAGCGUCGUACAUCUACGCGAAUUACGGUUCAGAACAGUUGUUGCUCGUGAGGCUGCUUUGUUCUUAUCCGUUCGUGGUUGAGUCUCAGAGAGAGGACAUUGAAUAAGUUUUUAAGAACUCCCAUGUUCUCUUUCAAAUCUCUUCUCAAAAGGCAGUAUGGCCUCAUUCUCCGUGGAAAGGGGAAUGCCGUCGAACUUAGAACAGUGGAGGGCCGAGAUGCGGCCAGGCUUGACGAUGACCCGUUUGCUACUGUCAUGUGGGCUGUCCGGCACCGUCUGGUAGAGUCCACGCGUAUUAGCACUCGGCGCUUUCCACUGACUCCCCUUUGCACCAACAAUCUGACUGGCAUCAUAGACCUGCAAGGAUCAUGGGAAGAUGAUCUGUUUGCUAAGCGUGUCGAGGCACUUGAGGCAGAGCAGGACCCGCUCAUCAGGGACCUGCUGGAGGCCAGAGCGGCUUGGGUUGCCGACCCGAGCCUCAUUAACCCUAUGGCCUUGUCCACCACUAUAACUCGUGCCUUUGGCACUCACAGAGUGCGUCGUGUCUUUCCGGAUCUACCAGACCCAGUCCUGGCCGAUAUCUCGGUUGACGACUUCUUUGCUGGCAAACGCGGGUCCGUGACGCUGCCAGACAUUGGGGAGGCCAAGGAAGGUCUUCGCGCGACCUUGUCGGCAGUGGCCACGCAGCGGGGUCUGGCCGUGACGUGGAAGGGAGAUCAACUUGAGGUGGUCGGGACCUUCGACUUGUUUAAAUGUAUCAACGGUCCCACCGUUGACAUACCAGACUUCCCGGCCGAGUGGGUACAGCAGACUCGACAUCAUAGCGAGACUGUCGGAGUCUCGCGGUCGAGAGGAGCCCUAAGCCGCCGCCGCGGGCCCCAUUCGUUUGGGACCCGUUGCUCCGGCUGGUGCAGACGGCGGGGAAACAUCAGGAGGGGGGCUGCCCGAUCCUGCCCUUGUCGUUCAAUGUCAGGGAUCUUGUCGCCAAAGAUCACAACUCGCUCUCUCCGGCGGAGAGCCUCAGAUUCCGAGGAGGCGAAGACGGUGAGGCCGCCUGGCUGGCUCUCCCGAAGAGCAGAAGGAGAAGUUUUCAAAGGCGUUUCCGAUGGGCUAUUCCCGGACGGCUGAGGAGGUGGCCCUAGCUGCCAUGGCCUGCCUUAAGCGGAUCGGGGGCAAUAUCAUACCCCCCGAUCUCCUCGUGCCUGUCACUCCUGGCCCAGCGGGGUGCUUGGUCCCUUCGUAUGUCGGUGUGGACCAAGAGGGUCGGCGGAUAGUCGGCCGGACACCGGGAUGGGGUUGGGGGCGAUGGCGCAGCCGCGCCGGUGUCUAGGUGAACGAAGGAAGUCGGGCCCAAGGUAGCCAUACGUGGUGCGCGUCGGGCUGUCCGGGGGGCCUUGCUGAGAGGGGGUUCGCGGCUAGGUCAACGAACGCGGUGGCCUUCGUUGACCUAGCCAGAGGGGAGACUAACCGUCACGUGCCCGGGGCGUCCCCGGCCGUAGCACCCGCCGUUCAUAUAAAGCUAACGCUGCCUGGUCGGAGUUCGGGUGUGAAAGCCGGUGGCGCUUCGGCCGCAUUCGGAGCCCCCCUAUGUCCUUAUCCAUGGAUGCGACCUCACGCCUUCAAAACUGAAAACCGGACAUGAUCUCAAGUUUCAAGUUAAGAACUUCCAUUCAUCCUACCCCUAAGGCUAGUCUAUAUAGAGCUAUGACUUUCAUCGCUAUGGGCAGGAGCCAGCUGAGUUUGUAUUGCUUGGAAGGUGGAGGGGUGAUGUGCUAGGGAGCUAAACCCCGUCCCUGUCUCCCAUAUUGUCUGCUAUAAUAGUUUAAAAUGUCAGUCAGAGAGAAGCGGCAGGGCGAGGCAAUUGCCCCCCUUGCCUUGCCCUCUUCUUCCGAUGCCACUAAUAGGGUAUGCAAACUUGGGGAUUCCCUGCCAUAAAUAAAUGCAACCCCUUAUGGCUGCCACUGCAUACAAAGGAAAAAAAGAGAGAUGUGGUUCAUUUUUCUCUUAGAUGUUCAUAUCAGAGGGGAUACAAACAGUCGUGGGUAGUUGCGGCUGAGUGAGCCAGCAGUGAGUGCUGCCUAAGUGUUCGAUUCGGACUCUCGUUUAAUCGGCAAGAAAACAAGUACCAGACAACUAUUGGAACGUAUCCUGUGAAUGGCUCCUGGGAUUUUCGCAAAUGGUCUCUUGUCUUACAAAUGAAUGCACUCCUAUUAACUAAGGGCACUUAGCGAGCUAUAUAUCCGAGGGUAAAAGACUAAAAACAAUGGAAAAGUAACAGAAACCAACAACACUUCUACUUGUUCAUUGUUUUUAGCGCUUUUUCCCUCGGAAAUAUGGAUCACCAACUAGCCCAAGUGCAUACCCUUCUACACUUAGUGAGUUGCUUCCUCCCUUCUCAUACUGCUGAGUCUACAUUUAAGCAUUCAUUCUUCACAGGAGGACCGACACGACAGAUUGACCUAUCCGGUGAUGCGAAUUGACAAAGAGGACUCAAAGGCCAUAACUGCGGUGUUGGAGAACCACUUAUUUGAGGUGACGGACGGAUUGGGCACUUCAUUGAUUUGAAGUACGAUAUAAAGUCUGCCUUGGCUUUGGAUCUCAUCACAAAUGCAUUCUGUCAGUUCCUCAAGGCUCUUCUCACAUCAUGUGGUGACAUUUGCGUCCAGUGUUAUAUAGCCCUGUCACAUGGAAGAGGUGGAGGAGACCAGCUUACUAAAGAGUAUAUCAGCAUCACUGGAAACACUGCCUCUAUUGCUGUCAUCAACAGCC